GUGCUUGGGCGAGAGUAGUACUAGGAUGGGUGACCCCCUGGGAAGUCCUCGUGUUGCACCC
rnacentral:rRNA from 1 species